GUCCUUAUAGCUCAGUUGGAUAGAGCACUUCCCUCCUAAGGAAGGGGUCGCACGUUCAAAUCGUGUUAAGGACGCCA
rnacentral:tRNA from 1 species